rnacentral:rRNA from 1 species
UACGUAGGGGGCAAGCGUUGUCCGGAUUCAUUGGGCGUAAAGAGCGUGUAGGCGGCCAGGUAGGUCGGUUGUGAAAACUGGAGGCUCAACCUUCAGAGGUCGACCGAAACCAUCUGGCUAGAGUCCGGGAGAGGAGAGUGGAAUUCCUGGUGUAGCGGUGAAAUGCGUAGAUAUCAGGAGGAACACCCAUGGCGAAGGCAGCAAACUGGUCCGUAUCUGACGCUGAGGCGCGAAAGCGUGGGUAGCAAACAGG